rnacentral:rRNA from 1 species
UGCAACCGACGAUGGCGACCGGCGCACGGGUGAGUAACGCGUAUCCAACCUACCCUUGUCCAUCGGAUAACCCGUCGAAAGGCGGCCUAACACGAUAUGCGGUUCUCAGCAGGCAUCUAACGAGAACGAAAUGUGAAGGAGAAGGAUGGGGAUGCGUCUGAUUAGCUUGUUGGCGGGGUAACGGCCCACCAAGGCGACGAUCAGUAGGGGUUCUGAGAGGAAGGUCCCCCACAUUGGAACUGAGACACGGUCCAAACUCCUACGGGAGGCAGCAGUGAGGAAUAUUGGUCAAUGGACGGGAGUCUGAACCAGCCAAGUAGCGUGCAGGAUGACGGCCCUAUGGGUUGUAAACUGCUUUUAUAGGGGGAUAAAGUGUGCCACGUGUGGCAUAUUGCAGGUACCCUAUGAAUAAGGACCGGCUAAUUCCGUGCCAGCAGCCGCGGUAAUACGGAAGGUCCGGGCGUUAUCCGGAUUUAUUGGGUUUAAAGGGAGCGUAGGCCGUCUUAUAAGCGUGUUGUGAAAUGUCGGGGCUCAACCUGGGCAUUGCAGCGCGAACUGUGAGACUUGAGUGCGCAGGAAGUAGGCGGAAUUCGUCGUGUAGCGGUGAAAUGCUUAGAUAUGACGAAGAACUCCGAUUGCGAAGGCAGCCUGCUGUAGCGCAACUGACGCUGAAGCUCG